UAUUUUUGGUGACUUUUUUUAAUUAGGUCUCUCAUUUUUUCUUUUUCUCAAUUGGGUCCCUAAUUUUGAAAAACUUAAGCAGAUAAAAAUAUAAGGACCAAAUUGACACAAAUCUAAUGACACGUGGUCUGAUAGUGACACGUGGCACUAGUGCCACCUCACAUUGUCAUUGCCACGUGGCUCAAUGUUAACUUGACACGUGACAAUUUUUUUUUUAAAAUAAAAAAUAAAAACUAAAAAUAAAAGUAAUUAAAAAUAUAUUUAAAAAAUUCAAAAAAAUCACAAACUGACACGAUUCACCCUUUUUAACGGUGAUAGUACGGAACUAACGACAGUGACCUAAUUGGUUCAAUUUUUCAAAAAUAGGGACCUAAUUGAGAAAAAGAAAAAACGAG
rnacentral:lncRNA from 1 species